ACUCAUUUAUUCCCGAGAGGGACCCACUUGC
rnacentral:piRNA from 1 species